rnacentral:rRNA from 1 species
UACGUAGGGUGCGAGCGUUGUCCGGAAUUACUGGGCGUAAAGAGCUUGUAGGCGGUUUGUCGCGUCUGCUGUGAAAUUCCAGGGCUUAACCCUGGGCUUGCAGUGGGUACGGGCAGACUAGAGUGUGGUAGGGGAGACUGGAAUUCCUGGUGUAGCGGUGAAAUGCGCAGAUAUCAGGAGGAACACCGAUGGCGAAGGCAGGUCUCUGGGCCACUACUGACGCUGAGAAGCGAAAGCAUGGGGAGCGAACAGG